rnacentral:rRNA from 1 species
UACGAGGGGGGCAAGCGUUGUUCGGAAUUAUUGGGCGUAAAGGGCGCGUAGGCGGUGCGGUAAGUCUGAUGUGAAAUCUCCGGGCUCAACUCGGAGUCUGCAUCAGAAACUGCCGUGCUCGAGUGUGGGAGAGGUGAGUGGAAUUCCCGGUGUAGCGGUGAAAUGCGUAGAGACCCGGAGGAACACCAGUGGCGAAGGCGGCGUCCUGGCCUGCGACUGACGCUGUGGCGCGAAAGCUAGGGGAGCGAACGGG